GAAAAAAUGAAGGAGCUUUUAUUUUAACCCAUUCUCAGCAUUUCUUCUCUUCAAUUUCGUCCCAAAGCAAGAAAGGGAAUAAAGCAGCCAUGAUCCAUUCCUUAAGUCCUUUCCAUUCCAAAAAGAAAGUCAAGAAAAUCAGCCUUUGCUCCUUCUUCUGCCUUCCAUCCGAACCACAAAAAAAGAAGAAAAACAAAGCAAACCUUCACUCUCAAAUUAGUAACAUGCCAAAAGAAGUAGAACAAAUAAAAAAAAUUAGCAUCUAAUUUGGGAAAAAUUUGAAAGCAUUAGCGCAAUAAGAGGUUAUUUUUUCAUCAAGCCUUGGAUUGCAUCAAACAAGCUUUGAUUGGAAGGUAAUUUAUGCAUAUGCUUAAAAAUUCAUGAACUAAAAAUAGUUAAUGUCUUGUAUAGUAUGUAUUGCUCUGUUGUGCUAUGAAUUGGCAACGUGGGGUGUUGUGUUUGUUGUGCGGAGUAAUAAGGAUGAAAAUAUACGGCUGAACUUCAUACCAAUACUUGUGAAAUCUGUUUUUUUAAAACCUUGCCCUUGUGAUGUUUGGUAAAACACCUAAAAGAGGAUUAAUGCUUAAAAAUCAAAAAUUAAGCAAAGUUUGGGGCUAGGUAACCUUUAUAUAUGUGUUGUGAUGUUAACUAAGUUGAUUGAGUGAAUCAAAUCAAGUUCAAUUAAAGUUUUAAAGAAUUUCUAAAAUCUUGAAGUGAAUGAAAAACUGAGAUGAGGGGGCAUAUUGGAGCCUCUUUAAUAUCAUCUUAAUGAACCUAAAUUGGUCAUGCUAUAUUUUUUUAAAAUACUAUGUAGUACCAUGUAGAACAUAUUAAAAUUUGAAGUCAAUCGGAUUUGUAGUUGUGAGAUAAAAAAUGGAAAAUUGUCAAGGAAAAUAAGGAAAAAUUUGGAAUUUUGGGCUGAGCACAGAGGCGCUGGCCUGGGGCUGGGCUAAGCCAAAAUGGGCAAAAUUAGGACAGUUUUAGCAUCCCUUAAUAAAAUGGGCAUAACUUUUUCAUAUAAACUCCGAUUGAGAUGAUUCAAGAUGAUUUUGAAAGCUAAGAAGUAGAAAUACAAUUUUCAUUCUUUAAGAAUUUAGAGAUAAGGCCUGGAGCAGGGUCAAAAUUGUCCAUUUUUGGGAAUGCUGGGCAAUCAGAGGGGAGGGUGUCGGGCGGGCGCGUAUGCAACGUGCAAUGCUUCCGACAAUAAAAGACAUUUUUCUAAGUUCUAAAAGACGAAAAAUAAUGAAAUGUAGAGAUGUUUAACAUUAAUCAAUAAGGUAUUAGACAAGUUGUAUAAUCAUGAUAAGCGAAUCGGGCGUGUGAUGUAUAAACGUUGAAAAUCCGUGUCAAGUGUAAAUGAACUUAAAAAUCGUUUCGAUUCAAAUAAAACUGAAAUUUUAAGAUAUUGAAAGGGUUAAUGUAAACCAAUAAGGAGGGAUGAUUGUGAGGGUCGUGACGUUCCUGAACGACGCGACGUCGAGAGAUGUUUUGAAAUUGAUCGUGUUAAUUAAACUAUAAUGUGCGAAAAAUAUGAAAUAAGAAAUAAUAUAACGUGAACCAAUUUGAGUGUAAUUAAGUGACUAAUUGGUAUGUUCAACCUUAAUGAUAUAUGUUGGUUGUUCGAAAAGCUACAGGCGGUAAAAGAGAAUAUAAGGAAAGUUUUUUUUAGUAACUUGUAGACUUGUUUGAAUACGAUGAUAUACAUGAUUUGGUUUCCUAGCUAUGUGCCAAUUUCUCAAUAUUAUGUGAAUUGCUUGUGAGUAUGAUCAAGGUAUGCACAUUGUGCAAUAAUGUGAUUAUAUUGUUCUAUAUGGAAUCUGAAACUCUGAAAAUAUACAAUAUGGGAUAUAUGAUGCAAAUAAAAAGCGCAUGCUAUGAGAUGUAUGAUGCAUAUGUAGACGCAUUGCAUAAGAUUUAUGAUGCAUGUAUACGAUGUAGAGCAUGAGGAACAUGUUACAUGAAUUAAAUGUGAGUUUAUAUGCUACGUGAAACAUGAAAACUGUUAGACUUGUUGGGCCGUCGUGCUCAACCUUGCAAAAUAUAAAAUUUGCAGAUGAAAGUUGAUUUAUUAGAGGGAUAUAGCAAUGAAGGUUCGAAACACGACAUGAUUAGAAAAGGUUUAUUGUUUCAUUGAGAUUAACUUAUGCCAAGCCAACACUACUUGUUGUAAUGUAAUCGUAUUGAAUUGUACCAAAUUUAAUAUACUCAAUAAAUAGAUGAUGAGUAAAAGUAUUCGUUUGAAUACGAUAUGUAACUUUACAAUUACUUUGUAAAGUGAACUAAUAUAAUGGCAAUGGUGUGUGUAAAGGAUGAUGUAUAG
rnacentral:lncRNA from 1 species